GAGUAACACGUGGAUAACCUACCUAUAAGACUGGGAUAACUUCGGGAAACCGGAGCUAAUACCGGAUAAUAUUUUGAACCGCAUGGGUCAAAAGUGAAAGACGGUCUUGCUGUCACUUAUAGAUGGAUCCGCGCUGCAUUAGCUAGUUGGUAAGGUAACGGCUUACCAAGGCAACGAUGCAUAGCCGACCUGAGAGGGUGAUCGGCCACACUGG
rnacentral:rRNA from 1 species